rnacentral:rRNA from 1 species
GGCGGCGAGUGGCGACGGGUGAGUAAUACAUCGGAACGUGCCCAAUCGUGGGGGAUAACGCAGCGAAAGCUGUGCUAAUACCGCAUACGAUCUACGGAUGAAAGCAGGGGAUCGCAAGACCUUGCGCGAAUGGAGCGGCCGAUGGCAGAUUAGGUAGUUGGUGAGGUAAAGGCUCACCAAGCCUUCGAUCUGUAGCUGGUCUGAGAGGACGACCAGCCACACUGGGACUGAGACACGGCCCAGACUCCUACGGGAGGCAGCAGUGGGGAAUUUUGGACAAUGGGCGAAAGCCUGAUCCAGCCAUGCCGCGUGCAGGAUGAAGGCCUUCGGGUUGUAAACUGCUUUUGUACGGAACGAAACGGCCUUUUCUAAUAAAGAGGGCUAAUGACGGUACCGUAAGAAUAAGCACCGGCUAACUACGUGCCAGCAGCCGCGGUAAUACGUAGGGUGCAAGCGUUAAUCGGAAUUACUGGGCGUAAAGCGUGCGCAGGCGGUUAUGUAAGACAGUUGU